GUGAAUCAUCGAAUCUUUGAACGCACAUUGCGCCCCGCGGCAUCCCGCGGGGCAUGCCUGUUCGAGCGUCAUCUCGCCCUCAAGCCCCGCUUGGCGUUGGGCGUGACCCUGAGCGGUCCGCCCCAAGGACAGCGGCGGCGCCGCAGGGCCCCGAGCGUAGUACGAGCCUCGCCACGGGGCCCGGAGGCUGCCCGCCUCACCCCCAACCAGUGAUUGACCUCGGAUCAGGUAGGGAUACCCGCUGAACUUAAGCAUAUCAAUAAGCGGAGGA
rnacentral:misc_RNA from 1 species